GAUGAACGCUGGCGGCGUGCCUAAUACAUGCAAGUCGAGCGAACGGACCAGAAGCUUGCUUCUCUGAUGUUAGCGGCGGACGUGUGAGUCACACGUGGAUACCCUCCCUAUAAGACUGGGAUAUCUUCGGGAAACCGGCGCUAAUCCCGGAUAAUCUUUUGAUCCGCAUGGUUCAAAAGUGAAAGACGGUCUUGCUGUCACUUAUAGCUGGAUCCGCGCUGCAUUAGCUAGUUGGUAAGGUAACGGCUUACCACGGCAACGAUGCAUAGCCGACCUGCGAGGGGGAUCGGCGACACGGGAGCUGAGACAGGGUCCAGACUACUACGGUAGGCAGCAGUAGGGAAUCUUCCGCAGUGGGCGAAAGUCUUACGGAGCAACGGCGCGUGAGUGAUGAAGGUCUUGGGAUCGGAAUACUGGGUUAUUAGGGAAGAACAUAUGUGUAAGUAACUGUGCACAGCUUGACGGUACCGAGUCAGAAAGCCACGGCUAACUACGUG
rnacentral:rRNA from 1 species